CAGUGACUUUCUCUGAAUUCAAAUCCUUGAGUUUUCCAAUAAAUUCAGACGAUACUGGAGAAACCAAUGUACAGGACAGAAUUGCACAGUGAAACGGGAACUGCAAUGUAGGUUUAAACAAGUGACAAUAUUUCCUGUCAGUUAUGGUCUUGGUUUGACAUCAUAGGUAAGGCUUGAAACCUUUAUCUAGGACUGUCAAGUUAAUGUUCAACUUAUAAAUGUUAAGCAGGAAACAACAACCAAACUCCACUCUUAAACUGUAAUUACAAAAAAAAAAAAAAGCAAAAAAAAACCCCUCAUAUAAA